GAUGAACGCUAGCGAUAGGCUUAACACAUGCAAGUCGAGGGGCAGCACAAGGUAGCUUGCUAUCUGGGUGGCGACCGGCGCACGGGUGCGUAACGCGUAUGCAACUUGCCCUAUACAGGAGGAUAACCCGUCGAAAGACGGACUAAUACUGCGUAUGCUCACAACUUGGCAUCAAGUGGUGAGGAAAGAAAUUCGGUAUAGGAUAGGCAUGCGUCCCAUUAGCUUGUUGGUGAGGUAACGGCUCACCAAGGCAACGAUGGGUAGGGGAACUGAGAGGUUUAGCCCCCACACUGGGACUGAGACACGGACCAGACUCCUACGGGAGGCAGCAGUGAGGAAUAUUGGUCAAUGGGCGCGAGCCUGAACCAGCCAAGUCGCGUGAAGGAUGACUGUCUUAUGGAUUGUAAACUUCUUUUAUACGGGAAUAACAAGAGUCACGUGUGACUCCCUGCAUGUACCGUAUGAAUAAGCAUCGGCUAACUCCGUG
rnacentral:rRNA from 1 species